UAGGGAAUCUUCGNCAAUGGACGGAAGUCUGACCGAGCAACGCCGCGUGAGUGAAGAAGGUUUUCGGAUCGUAAAGCUCUGUUGUAAGAGAAGAACGAGUGUGAGAGUGGAAAGCUCACACUGUGACGGUAUCUUACCAGAAAGGGACGGCUAACUACGUGCCAGCAGCCGCGGUAAUACGUAGGUCCCGAGCGUUGUCCGGAUUUAUUGGGCGUAAAGCGAGCGCAGGCGGUUAGAUAAGUCUGAAGUUAAAGGCUGUGGCUUAACCAUAGUACGCUUUGGAAACUGUUUAACUUGAGUGCAAGAGGGGAGAGUGGAAUUCCAUGUGUAGCGGUGAAAUGCGUAGAUAUAUGGAGGAACACCGGUGGCGAAAGCGGCUCUCUGGCUUGUAACUGACGCUGAGGCUCGAAAGCGUGGGGAGCAAACAGGAUUAGAUACCCUGGUAGUCCACGCCGUAAACGAUGAGUGCUAGGUGUUAGACCCUUUCCGGGGUUUAGUGCCGCAGCUAACGCAUUAAGCACUCCGCCUGGGGAGUACGACCGCAAGGUUG
rnacentral:rRNA from 1 species